GACGAACGCUGGCGGCGUGCCUAAUACAUGCAAGUAGAACGCUGAAGCGAGGAGCUUGCUCUUCUUGGAUGAGUUGCGAACGGGUGAGUAACGCGUAGGUAACCUGCCUUGUAGCGGGGGAUAACUAUUGGAAACGAUAGCUAAUACCGCAUAACAAUGGAUGACCCAUGUCAUUUAUUUGAAAGGGGCAAAUGCUCCACUACAAGAUGGACCUGCGUUGUAUUAGCUAGUAGGUGAGGUAACGGCUCACCUAGGCGACGAUACAUAGCCGACCUGAGAGGGUGAUCGGCCACACUGGGACUGAGACACGGCCCAGACUCCUACGGGAGGCAGCAGUAGGGAAUCUUCGGCAAUGGGGGCAACCCUGACCGAGCAACGCCGCGUGAGUGAAGAAGGUUGUCGGAUCGUAAAGCUCGGUUGUAAGUCAAGAACGAGUGUGAGAGUGGAAAGUUCACACUGUGACGGUAGCUUACCAGAAAGGGACGGCUAACUACGUG
rnacentral:rRNA from 1 species